rnacentral:rRNA from 1 species
GACGAACGCUGGCGGCGUGCUUAACACAUGCAAGUCGAACGAAGUGGCGAACGGUUGAGUAAUACGUGGGUAACCUGCCCUCCUUUUUGGGAUAAGCCUUGGAAACGGGGUCUAAUACCGAAUAAAGGGGGAGGGGCUCGCGGCCUAUCAGCUUGUAGGUGGGGUGAUGGCCUACCAAGGCGGGGCGGGGUAGCCGGCCGGAGAGGGAGACCGGGAAUGUGGGGAGGGGGAGACGCCCAAGGUUCGUACGGGAGGUGGCAGUUGGGGAUUGUGCGCAAUGGUGGAAAGGCUGAUGCAGGGAAGCCGAGUGGGGGAUGAAGGCGUUAGGGUUGUAAACCUGUGUCGCUAUAGAACGGGUAGGUGGAGAAGAAGCGCCGGCUAACUACGUGCCAGCAGCCGCGGUAAUAC